rnacentral:rRNA from 1 species
UGGGGAAUUUUGGACAAUGGGCGAAAGCCUGAUCCAGCAAUGCCGCGUGUGUGAAGAAGGCCUUCGGGUUGUAAAGCACUUUUGUCCGGAAAGAAAUCCUUGGCUCUAAUACAGUCGGGGGAUGACGGUACCGGAAGAAUAAGCACCGGCUAACUACGUGCCAGCAGCCGCGGUAAUACGUAGGGUGCAAGCGUUAAUCGGAAUUACUGGGCGUAAAGCGUGCGCAGGCGGUUUGCUAAGACCGAUGUGAAAUCCCCGGGCUCAACCUGGGAACUGCAUUGGUGACUGGCAGGCUAGAGUAUGGCAGAGGGGGGUAGAAUUCCACGUGUAGCAGUGAAAUGCGUAGAGAUGUGGAGGAAUACCGAUGGCGAAGGCAGCCCCCUGGGCCAAAUACUGACGCUCAUGCACGAAAGCGUGGGGGAGCAAACAGGAUUAGAUACCCUGGUAGUCCACGCCCUAAACGAUGUCAACUAGUUGUUGGGGAUUCAUUUCCUUAGUAACGUAGCUAACGCGUGAAGUUGACCGCCUGGGGAGUACGGUCGCAAGAUUAAAACUCAAAGGAAUUGACGGGGUCAUAGCUGUUUCCU